AUGAACGCUGGCGGCGUGCCUAAUACAUGCAAGUCGCGCGAACAGACGAGGAGCUUGCUCCUCUGACGUUAGCGGCGGACGGGUGAGUAACACGUGGAUAACCUACCUAUAAGACUGGGAUAACUUCGGGAAACCGGAGCUAAUACCGGAUAAUAUAUUGAACCGCAUGGUUCAAUAGUGAAAGACGGUUUUGCUGUCACUUAUAGAUGGAUCCGCGCCGCAUUAGCUAGUUGGUAAGGUAACGGCUUACCAAGGCAACGAUGCGUAGCCGACCUGAGAGGGUGAUCGGCCACACUGGAACUGAGACACGGUCCAGACUCCUACGGGAGGCAGCAGUAGGGAAUCUUCCGCAAUGGGCGAAAGCUUGACGGAGCAACGCCGCGUGAGUGAUGAAGGUCUUCGGAUCGUAAAACUCUGUUAUUAGGGAAGAACAAAUGUGUAAGUAACUAUGCACGUCUUGACGGGACCUAAUCAGGAAGCCACGGCUAACUACGU
rnacentral:rRNA from 1 species